CGAAUCUUGAUAGGUAUACGCAUAAAACCUCUUCCUCCCCUCGACAAGGAAAAAAAACAUGAAAGUGACGAAGGGCAUCUGUCAGACCAAAAAGAGAAUCAAAGUCAUCAUCUCAUUUCCUCAGGAAUGAGUUUUUUCCGAAGACAAGUGGCGAAUCUCCGCACACUUUUAGGAAUUAAUCGUAUAUAUCAGAUAAAAUCAGUGCAUGAGCCGGUCCAGCAAUUUUUAUAUCUCAUGUGUAAAGCAGUGAGGAAGGAAGAUAUGAGUUAUUAUCAACAAAGGAAAUUGAACGAAA